GUGCUUGCUUCGGCAGCACCUGUGCUAAAAUUGAAGUGAUACACAGAAGAUUAGCAUGGCCUCUGUGCAAGGAUGACACACAAAUUCAUGAAGCAUUCCAUAUUUUU
rnacentral:snRNA from 1 species